GCCAACAUUGAGCCCUUCGAACCCAGGCACAAAGGACCAACUUGCAAACGAUGCACUUGUUUUCAUGCUAGCUGGGCUAACAAGCAGGUGGAAACAAGCCGUUGCUUAUCAGCUCACAUAACACAUAAAGAAGGCCUGUGAACUUGAAGCCAAGCACCAGCUGAAGCUCAUGCCUUACUUGAAGCUACGUGACUUGGACCCUACACAUUUGAAAAGAUGAACGUUGCUUCAGCGUACGCCCUUCUUCACCAUGCCACAGCAGCCGGCCUUCGGUACCUUGUUCACAAAAAUCAUCUCCCAAGAGAAGCUCUCACCACAGCAUUUUUCCUUGAACAAGUUUUCAGAUGGUUUAUCAUCUUGACGUCACGAACAAUGAAGACUGCGCUGAGCGAGCUUUGCCCUCAGAAAGGAGAUGAAGCGAA